AAAAGAAGCUCUUGGGGAAAGGUGGCAGCUGAAAAGAUGUCAUGAGAAAUGGAAGAGUUGCCACCUUCAGAACAAGGAGGUGACAAUGACAUCAGAUAAGAGACCAUGACUUGGAUUUUGGACAUCUGACUUCAUACAGGCCUUUAGACAUCUAAGUAGAACUAUGAGGUCAUACACGUUGCCUAGGAGCCUGGAUCACUUUGGUGUUUACAGAGAGGAGUCUCUCCAAUAACUAGAACCCCCUUAGCCCUUUGCCUGCUCUGCCCUGGUUACAGCAUCUAAGGUACCAACCAUCUCACCCUGGUCCUGGACCUGAACACUAGCAGAUCAUCAUGGUACCUUCUAUCAAAGAUACCCACAUUCACCAUUAGCAUCUUCUACAGGCAGGUCGUGGGCUCUUUGCUUCAUGAUGGUGGUAAAAGAUGUAAUCUCUCAGCUUCUUGCUCCUGCUUCUUGUUCUCACGCUUCCCUGCUGUGGUGAAUUCUUAUCCCUCUGGAACCAGAGACCAAAAUAAAGGUCUCCCUCUGGAAGU